UACGGAGGAUGCGAGCGUUAUCCGGAUUUAUUGGGUUUAAAGGGUGCGUAGGCGGAUCGUUAAGUCAGUGGUCAAAUUGAGGGGCUCAACCCCUUCCCGCCAUUGAAACUGGCGAUCUUGAGUGGAAGAGAAGUAUGCGGAAUGCGUGGUGUAGCGGUGAAAAGCAUAGAUAUCACGCAGAACCCCGAUUGCGAAGGCAGCAUGCCGGCUUCCUACUGACGCUGAAGCACGAAAGCGUGGGGAUCGAACAGG
rnacentral:rRNA from 1 species